CUACAUAUCAAUAAGCGGAGGAAAAGAAACCAACAGGGAUUGCCCUAGUAACGGCGAGUGAAGCGGCAACAGCUCAAAUUUGAAAUCUGGCCCCCUAGGGGGUCCGAGUUGUAAUUUGCAGAGGGUGCUUUGGCGUUGGCAGCGGUCUAAGUUCCUUGGAACAGGACGUCACAGAGGGUGAGAAUCCCGUACGUGGUCGCCAGCCUUCGCCGUGUAAAGCCCCUUCGACGAGUCGAGUUGUUUGGGAAUGCAGCUCUAAAUGGGAGGUAAAUUUCUUCUAAAGCUAAAUACUGGCCAGAGACCGAUAGCGCACAAGUAGAGUGAUCGAAAGAUGAAAAGCACUUUGGAAAGAGAGUCAAAAAGCACGUGAAAUUGUUGAAAGGGAAGCGCUUGCAGCCAGACUUGCCUGUAGUUGCUCAGCCGGGCUCCGGCCCGGUGCACUCUUCUGCGGGCAGGCCAGCAUCAGUUCGGGCGGCCGGAUAAAGACCUCUGUCACGUACCUCCCUCCGGGGAGGACUUAUAGGGGAGGUGAAAUGCGGCCAGUCCGGACUGAGGUCCGCGCAUCUGCUAGGAUGCUGGCGUAAUGGCUGUAAGCGGCCCGUCUUGAAACACGGACCAAGGAGUCUAACAUCUAUGCGAGUGUUUGGGUGUCAAGCCCGAGCGCGUAAUGAAAGUGAACGGAGGUGGGAACCCCUCGGGGUGCACCAUCGACCGAUCCUGAUGUCUUCGGAUGGAUUUGAGUAAGAGCAUAGCUGUUGGGACCCGAAAGAUGGUGAACUAUGCUUGAAUAGGGUGAAGCCAGAGGAAACUCUGGUGGAGGCUCGCAGCGGUUCUGACGUGCAAAUCGAUCGUCAAAUUUGGGCAUAGGGGCGAAAGACUAAUCGAACCAUCUAGUAGCUGGU
rnacentral:rRNA from 1 species